rnacentral:rRNA from 1 species
UACGUAGGGUGCAAGCGUUAAUCGGAAUUACUGGGCGUAAAGCGUGCGCAGGCGGUUGUGCAAGACAGAGGUGAAAUCCCCGGGCUUAACCUGGGAAUGGCCUUUGUGACUGCACGGCUAGAGUGUGUCAGAGGGGGGUAGAAUUCCACGUGUAGCAGUGAAAUGCGUAGAGAUGUGGAGGAAUACCGAUGGCGAAGGCAGCCCCCUGGGAUAACACUGACGCUCAUGCACGGAAGCGUGGGGAGCAAACAGG